rnacentral:rRNA from 1 species
CUACGGGACGCACCAGUGAGGAAUAUUGCACAAUGGGGGGAACCCUGAUGCAGCAACGCCGCGUGGAGGAUGACGCAUUUCGGUGUGUAAACUCCUUUUAUAUGUCAAGAAAAUGACGGUAGCAUAUGAAUAAGCACCGGCUAACUCCGUGCCAGCAGCCGCGGUAAUACGGAGGGUGCAAGCGUUACUCGGAAUCACUGGGCGUAAAGGACGCGUAGGCGGGCUUGUAAGUCAGGUGUGAAAUCCUACAGCUUAACUGUAGAACUGCACUUGAAACUACGAGCCUAGAGUAUGGGAGGGGCAGAUAGAAUUAGUGGUGUAGGGGUAAAAUCCGUAGAUAUCACUAGGAAUACCUAAAGCGAAGGCGAUCUGCUGGAACAUAACUGACGCUAAGGCGUGAAAGCGUGGGGAGCAAACAGGAUUAGAUACCCGCGUAGUC